AUGAUGCCCUGCGGACUAGGGUACCCUCCAACUUUCCAGAGUUCCAGCCCAUGCCCAUUGCCUCAGGCUGGGGACUCCCUGAGCCAGAACCAUCAGCUUCCUGAGGGGGGGCUGGCGGUAGUCCCAUCAUCAGCCCUGGAUCUGGGUGAAGCUGCGAGUCACAGAGACCCAAGGCGGGCGAGCCCUGCUCUGCCUGCAGAGUCCACACCUGGCUGCCUACAAGAGCUGAACCCCACCACCAGCUUUGGGGACCCAGGAAGUUCUGAGUUCAAGAACCUGGCCCAGAGGGCAGAGAGGAGACAAGCAGGACCCACAACCCAGAGGCCCUGUCAACAGCCAUCCGUGAAUGUAGGCGGUCGAAAGCUCACUCAGGGAGCCCCAAGGCUCUGGGGCCUGCCCUCCCGGGGCCUGCCAGAACCCCAGGUUCCCCUGGAGGGGCUGGGCUGGAGCCUGGGCCGGGAGAGAGCAGAACUUCAGAAACUGCUGAGGAUCGAGAUUCCUCAGAGGCAGAGAGAGGGGGACCCUCAGGAGCAGAAAGAAGAGAGCCCCCAGGGUCAGAGAGGGGAAGCCCCCCAGGGGGAGAGCAAAGUUCCUUCCGGACACAGAGAGAAGACACGCCAGGGUCAGUGUGCGGAGGCCACUCAGGCUCUGAGGGAGGAGGUCUCGGAGUAUCCCAGGUGUGAGGCUCCCCAGAGUGAGAGGAGAGAGUCUCCUCAAGGUCAAAGAGGAAACAGCCCUAAGUGUCAGAGAACGGAGGUUCUCCAGGAGACACAAGACCCGGAAAUGAAGACCCUUCAGACUUCCCCAGGCCCUAACUGGGAGGUGGCUGAGGGAGAGGUGCCUACACAACCCCCGGAGGAAGGCGGCUCCCUGGGAAUUUCUAGGGAUCUCUGUAGGUCCCUGGGAGAACAGAUGCCACAGCAAAGGGGUAGGGAGAGCCCUGGCUCCGGGGAAAGGGCCGCCCAGCGGCGAGAGUCAGCACCGGGCGCGGGAGAGCAGAGGGCCGCCGGGGAGCGGGUACGGACUCCCCUUCCACCCCCGAGGCCCCCGACCCGGCCGCUGCUCCCAAGCCCAGGGGCCGAGACGCUAGAGGCCCCAAGCACUGGGAGCUCGGGGCAGCAGGAGCGCCCCGCAGCUCCCCGGGGGCACCCAGGGCUGGUGCCCGACCCGCACGGGCUUCAGGACCGGGAAGAAAGCCCAGGCCCGGCGGAGCAGGUGCCGGACGCCGGCGGGGAGCCGAGGGGCGACGCGGAGGCCCCCAAGGCCUCGAAGGCCGCGUGGCCCUGGCCCCCGGGCAGGGAGAAGGCGUCGGCGGGCGUGAGCGCGGUGCAGCAGGAGACCGCUCUGCAGCGGCUGCUGGAGCUGCACCGCGCGGCCAGGCGCCGGCGGCGGCAGGAUCGCGAGCAGCAGCGGCUCCGGGUGCGUAUCCGCACCUGCCUGCCGGCUUCAGGCAGGCGGGGCCUGCCGAGGACCGGCCGGCCGGCCGCUGACAGCCGUCUCCCCCUCCCCCCCCCCCCCAGGUCUUGGAAUGCCUCCGCAUCGCCAGGAACCGCCACUGCCGGGUGCACCCUCUGGGGCCCCCACCCAGCCCAGCUCAGCUCCAGCCACAGGCAAGGCUCCCAGAAGGCGGUGGCGUCACCACCAUCUGGGCCAGGGCGGGGGGAACGCGGGGAUGGGGGAGGGGAGGGCUGGGUCCGAGCUGGUAUCGCCUCCUGGAUGCCUUUGGAGUGCACACUUGCACUGACCCCGACAGAGGGCGGGAGGGGGGCGUCAGUCCGGGUGCUGCCCCCUGCUGGCUCCAUCAAGCCCGCGGGGUCCGAGGCCGGGGCGCUCAGCGCUCUGCACCGCCCCAGGAGGACGCGGCGGGGCAGCGGCGAGCCCUGCGGCAGCAGCUGCAACAAGUGCAUCGGGAGAGGACCCGGCGGCUGCGGGCCCUCGGGGCCAGGUGAGGGGGAGGAUGGGGAGGCUUAUGGGGCGAUCUUCCUCGAGAGGAAGAGAGAGGGAGAGCGAGAGGGAGAGCGAGCGAGAUGGUUCUCUUUCUCGGACAUCUGGAAUAACCGGCCACUCUCUUUCAGGAACACCCAGAACUUCCAGCAGCUACUGUGGCCUCGCACUGAGGACCCUUUGCCAGGAGAGGAGCCCUCGCCCUUCGCAGCCCCAUCUAGUCAUUGCUGAAUCCUCAAAGGGAUGAUUAAAGAGAUGAGGAUUAAAGAAAAAGCAAGUGCAG
ensembl:lncRNA